rnacentral:rRNA from 1 species
UACGUAGGGUGCGAGCGUUGUCCGGAAUUACUGGGCGUAAAGGGCGCGUAGGCGGCCUUCUAAGUCAGACGUGAAAUCCCCCGGCUUAACCUGGGAACUGCGUCUGAUACUGGAGGGCUUGAGUGCGGGAGAGGGAUGUGGAAUUCCAGGUGUAGCGGUGAAAUGCGUAGAUAUCUGGAGGAACACCGGUGGCGAAGGCGGCAUCCUGGACCGACACUGACGCUGAGGCGCGAAAGCUAGGGUAGCAAACGGG